rnacentral:tRNA from 3 species
GGAGAGGUGACAGAGUCUGGUCGAAUGUGCUUCCCUGCUAAGGAAGUGACUGCUCACGCGGUCCGUGGGUUCAAAUCCCACCCUCUCCGCCA